GCCUCUGUAGCUCAGUUGGUUAGAGCGCUGCACCGGAAUUGCAGGACCUCAGGUACCAUUCCUGCCAGGGACC
rnacentral:tRNA from 1 species